UACGAGAGGCCCAAACGUUAUUCGGAAUUACUGGGCUUAAAGAGUUCGUAGGCGGCGCAGAAAGUAGGGUGUGAAAGCCCUCGGCUCAACCGAGGAAUUGCGCUCUAAACUACUGUGCUUGAGGAAGCUAGAGGUGAGCGGAACUGAUGGUGGAGCGGUGAAAUGCGUUGAUAUCAUCAGGAACACCGGAGGCGAAGGCGGCUCACUGGGGCUUUUCUGACGCUGAGGAACGAAAGCCAGGGGAGCGAACGGG
rnacentral:rRNA from 1 species